ACGAAUUUCUAGUUCCAUUCGACAUUUCUUUUUCUUCGAGACGCUGUCCGAAAAGUUGACAUCAGCCAUUGGCUCAUGGCGGGGCACUUUCUUUCCUGACGUUUUUCGUUAAUGUCUGAGCUUGUUCAUUGCAUUACGUGCAUGUGACCGCUGACUUGUCAUGAAGAGAGUCCGCUAUUUGCAAGACAAUUGAGGUGAAAAGAGGAAACUUGAAAAGGAAAUACUGGGUUCCUUGUUCAUUUUGAGCUGUUAAUGGUGUUGUCUGGUGUGCAGUGAUUUUGCAGUUAUUCAGUCGAGAGAUGCCCUGAAAUGGAUGAUCAACUGCUGAGACUUCCCUCACUUCAUGGUCUUUUUCUAUGGAGACGCUGUCCUAGAAGGUUUAGCUUGUCCAUUGCAGGCAACUUUUCUCUCUUGACAUUAUUAGUCUUCAAAAUGGGAACAUGGCUUUUAACUUGUACUUGCAUGGUUAAUUACUAAUGGUUAAAUUUCUAAUAGUUCUUUAAUCUAUCGGUUUAAUUUUUACGGUCAUGAGAUCUGCCGUACAUUUUCUCCAAAAUGUCGUCUCUUGGUUCAUGUUGCACGUUUCGUCACAUUCAGAAUAAUAGCCUGGUGAAGUCAAAGCUUUUCAUUGCGUUACGCACUUACGUGUACGCGAUCGCUGCCGUUUAAUGAAGGUUCUCUAAGAGGGUCUCUACCACAUUGCAAGACAACAUUGUGAUGGAAAUAGGAAAUCUGAAAUAAUAAUAAUUUUUCCACGUUCCGUAUGAUGUUCGAGCUUUUUGUUGUGGCGGUUACGUGCGCAGUGAUUUUCCAGGAGAGAUGCGUUAAAAAGUCGUGUUGGCUUUAGAGUUUUUCCAGGGACAAAGCAGCUGAUGUUGGCAACAUGGCAAAUGCCACUGAGCCUGACUUAAUGUUCUCUGGACACUGUCAGUUACAUUGUUCGUGACCAAUGCGGAACAACAUUCUUCUUCACAAAUAUCUCAUAAAGAUUAAGAAGAACAGUGUUAGAAUACAUUGUUAAUCUGUCAUGCCUGUGAUACAUUUCUGUCCUUGUCACAGAGUCUUAUCCCAGUAGGUGUUUUGUCUCUGUUUGGGGUUGUUAGGAUUAGUGGCUUGGUGAGGUUGAGCUUUUUCAUGGCAGUUGAGUGUCCACAUGGACUUGUUGCAGCGAGCUGGUGAAGGGUGUGGUGAGCUGUUGCGUGACGACCAUGGGCUGGUGCGGAGAAGUGCUGCACGCUGUCUGCGGCUUCCAUCGUCAGUUAGCUGUAUGAGCUAAUUAUGUUGUUGCUCUUUGGUAUGCAGUUCAUGUUCAGUUGGUUUUGUUGCAGCCAGCUGGUGAAAGGGAGUCCUAGUUGAGCUGCAGCUUUUGAAGCAGUUAACAAUGCUCGUGUUAUUCCGAAAUGUAACAUCAAUGAAGACAUCUUGAAAUGGUCUUGGUGAUGAUGCAAUCAUCCAUCUUCUGCAUGGAUUUUGUGUUACCAAGAAGUGGAGAAGUUAGACUUGAAGCAAAGCUGCAGGAAAAGAAACGGUAUUGACGUUUAAUGUGCAGUGGUUUUGCAGUCCGACUCCUUUUCAAGCUGUUGCUUUCCUGAAUUUUGCUGGAGUCUUUGAAGUAGCUGAUCCUGUCAUCCUGAAGUUAUGAUGCGGGGUUAUCCUGGAAUAGCUGUUGUUGGUGUCUUUAAGUUACUGUGGCAGUUCAAUUCGGGUUGA